rnacentral:rRNA from 1 species
GACGAACGCUGGCGGCGUGCCUAAUACAUGCAAGUAGAACGCUGAAGAGAGGAGCUUGCUCUUCUUGGAUGAGUUGCGAACGGGUGAGUAACGCGUAGGUAACCUGCCUUGUAGCGGGGGAUAACUAUUGGAAACGAUAGCUAAUACCGCAUAACAAUGGAUGACACAUGUCAUUUAUUUGAAAGGGGCAAUUGCUCCACUACAAGAUGGACCUGCGUUGUAUUAGCUAGUAGGUGAGGUAAUGGCUCACCUAGGCGACGAUACAUAGCCGACCUGAGAGGGUGAUCGGCCACACUGGGACUGAGACACGGCCCAGACUCCUACGGGAGGCAGCAGUAGGGAAUCUUCGGCAAUGGGGGCAACCCUGACCGAGCAACGCCGCGUGAGUGAAGAAGGUUUUCGGAUCGUAAAGCUCUGUUGUAAGUCAAGAACGGGUGUGAGAGUGGAAAGUUCACACUGUGACGGUAGCUUACCAGAAAGGGACGGCUAACUACGUGCCAGCAGCCGCGGUAAUACGUAGGUCCCGAGCGUUGUCCGGAUUUAUUGGGCGUAAAGCGAGCGCAGGCGGUUUGAUAAGUCUGAAGUUAAAGGCUGUGGCUCAACCAUAGUUCGCUUUGGAAACUGUCAAACUUGAGUGCAGAAGGGGAGAGUGGAAUUCCAUGUGUAGCGGUGAAAUGCGUAGAUAUAUGGAGGAACACCGGUGGCGAAAGCGGCUCUCUGGUCUGUAACUGACGCUGAGGCUCGAAAGCGUGGGGAGCGAACAGGAUUAGAUACCCUGGUAGUCCACGCCGUAAACGAUAAGUGCUAGGUGUUGGAUCCUUUCCGGGAUUCAGUGCCGCAGCUAACGCAUUAAGCACUCCGCCUGGGGAGUACGACCGCAAGGUUGAAACUCAAAGGAAUUGACGGGGGCCCGCACAAGCGGUGGAGCAUGUGGUUUAAUUCGAAGCAACGCGAAGAACCUUACCAGGUCUUGACAUCCCGAUGCUAUUUCUAGAGAUAGAAAGUUACUUCGGUACAUCGGUGACAGGUGGUGCAUGGUUGUCGUCAGCUCGUGUCGUGAGAUGUUGGGUUAAGUCCCGCAACGAGCGCAACCCCUAUUGUUAGUUGCCAUCAUUCAGUUGGGCACUCUAGCGAGACUGCCGGUAAUAAACCGGAGGAAGGUGGGGAUGACGUCAAAUCAUCAUGCCCCUUAUGACCUGGGCUACACACGUGCUACAAUGGUUGGUACAACGAGUUGCGAGUCGGUGACGGCGAGCUAAUCUCUUAAAGCCAAUCUCAGUUCGGAUUGUAGGCUGCAACUCGCCUACAUGAAGUCGGAAUCGCUAGUAAUCGCGGAUCAGCACGCCGCGGUGAAUACGUUCCCGGGCCU